AUAGCGUAUAUUUAAGUUGUUGCAGUUAAAAAGCUCGUAGUUGGACCUUGGGCCGGGUCGGCCGGUCCGCCUCACGGUGUGAACCGACCUAUCCGACCCUUCUGUCGGCGAUGCGUGCCGGGCCUUAAUUGGCCGGGCCGUGCCUCCGGCGCCGUUACUUUGAAGAAAUUAGAGUGCUCAAAGCAAGCCCACGCUCUGCAUACAUUAGCAUGGGAUAACAUCACAGGAUUUCGGUCCUAUUGUGUUGGCCUUCGGGAUCGGAGUAAUGAUUAAGAGGGACAGUCGGGGGCAUUGGUAUUCAGUCGCUAGAGGUGAAAUUCUUGGAUUGACUGAAGACCGACUAUUG
rnacentral:rRNA from 1 species